rnacentral:rRNA from 1 species
UUCCAGACUCCUACGGGAGGCAGCAGUGGGGAAUAUUGGGCAAUGGGCGCAAGCCUGACCCAGCAACGCCGCGUGAAGGAAGAAGGCUUUCGGGUUGUAAACUUCUUUUAAGAGGGAAGAGUAGAAGACGGUACCUCUUGAAUAAGCCACGGCUAACUACGUGCCAGCAGCCGCGGUAAUACGUAGGUGGCAAGCGUUGUCCGGAUUUACUGGGUGUAAAGGGCGUGUAGCCGGGCCGGCAAGUCAGAUGUGAAAUCCCAAGGCUCAACCUUGGAACUGCACUUGAAACUGUUGAUCUUGAGUACUGGAGAGGCAGACGGAAUUCCUAGUGUAGCGGUGAAAUGCGUAGAUAUUAGGAGGAACACCAGUGGCGAAGGCGGUCUGCUGGACAGCAACUGACGGUGAGGCGCGAAAGCGUGGGGAGCAAACAGGAUUAGAUACCCGUGUAUU